ACGAAAUAACUGUGUUCUCGGGCCUAAGAGAUGGAUUACUGAAAUCUAGAUUCUGUACUUUGGGAACUUUCCUGAAUGAUUUGCUGGUUUCAAUUUGUCAAACUCAAUAAAAGUAAAGGAUUUACAUCUUUGGUUUACAGAAAUUCUGUUAAAAAUUGACAUUUUGGCAUUCUACGGCUAUAAUAAGGAUUUUAAAGAAGUUUACAUUUUAUGCCUAAGAGGCAUGCUGACUUUCUAUCUGACAGCUUUUUUGUUCCUGAUAUUUGUGUUUCUG
rnacentral:lncRNA from 1 species